CCUCCUUAUACGAUUUAGAACUUAUUUGUUCGUAGUGUCCACACAGAUGAUUGUUAGUUAGUUUUACCCUUUGGGUUUAACUGAUUAAUAUGCUCUUUAAAAAUUUGGAAAAGCUGAUAAUAAAAUUCGUAUGAAUAACACUGUUAUUUGUACAGAGUUUUCAAAAGUAAAAAAGAAUGAUAGCAGUAUCAUUCAGUGCCAAUUUAAUCAUUUAUGAUUAAUUGGUAUCUACUUUAGUAUUCAAUAUUAACUUCUGGCGAAGUUAAACUGUCACUAACAAAGACCCGUUUGGGUUGUAUGGUUAAGUGAUUAANCGUACACGGUGGAUGCCC
rnacentral:misc_RNA from 1 species